rnacentral:rRNA from 1 species
GACGAACGCUGGCGGCGUGCUUAACACAUGCAAGUCGAACGGUAAGGCCCUUCGGGGUACACGAGUGGCGAACGGGUGAGUAACACGUGGGUGAUCUGCCCUGCACUUCGGGAUAAGCCUGGGAAACUGGGUCUAAUACCGGAUAGGACCAUGCGCCUCACGGUGUGGGGUGGAAAGCUUUUGCGGUGUGGGAUGGGCCCGCGGCCUAUCAGCUUGGUGGUGGGGUAAUGGCCUACCAAGGCGACGACGGGUAGCCGGCCUGAGAGGGUGACCGGCCACACUGGGACGGAGAUACGGCCCAGACUCCUACGGGAGGCAGCAGUGGGGAAUAUUGCACAAUGGGCGCAAGCCUGAUGCAGCGACGCCGCGUGAGGGAUGACGGCCUUCGGGUUGUAAACCUCUUUCAGUAGGGACGAAGCGCAAGUGACGGUACCUACAGAAGAAGGACCGGCCAACUACGUGCCAGCCGCCGCAGUAA